AUUGAACGCUGGCGGCAGGCCUAACACAUGCAAGUCGAACGAGUGGCGGACGGGUGAGUAAUGUCUGGGAAACUGCCUGAUGGAGGGGGAUAACUACUGGAAACGGUAGCUAAUACCGCAUACCAUCAGAUGUGCCCAGAUGGGAUUAGCUAGUUGGUAGGGUAAUGGCCUACCAAGGCGACGAUCAGUAGCUGGUCUGAGAGGAUGAUCAGCCACAUUGGGACUGAGACACGGCCCAAACUCCUACGGGAGGCAGCAGUGGGGAAUAUUGCACAAUGGGCGCAAGCCUGAUGCAGCCAUGCCGCGUGUGUGAAGAAGGCCUUCGGGUUGUAAAGCACUUUCAGCGAGGAGGCGUUACUCGCAGAAGAAGCACCGGCUAACUCCGUGCCAGCCGCCGCGGUAAUAC
rnacentral:rRNA from 1 species